rnacentral:misc_RNA from 1 species
CUGAGUGAGGGCCUUCGGGCUCGACCUCCAACCCUUUGUGAACACCAACCUGUUGCUUCGGGGGCGACCCUGCCGUUUCGACGGCGAGCGCCCCCGGAGACCAUCAAACACUGCAUCUUUGCGUCGGAGUUUAAGUAAAUUAAACA